UUUUUUUUUCUUAUUUACUAACCUUGUCAAUAUGGGACUAAAAAAUAAUGAUGUUCUCGAGUCUUUAAUUGAUAUGUAUUAUUAAUGAAUGGGCACUAAAUUAAACAUUUUGAUGACACGUCAUAUAAUUUACAAAUUUGGUCUACGUAUUAUUCUUUAUUGAAGAUUAGACUUGAAUUAAAACGAAUAUUUAAAAAUAACAACCCACAUAGCUACAAGAUAGUAACUAAAAAUAAAUUAACAACCAAACAAAAAUUUGUAAAAAUUGAAAAGAAUAAACAUGCACAUAGCAUUUCGAACUUAGGACCUCUUGUUAAUUUUAAACAACAAAAAUCAUUGUUUCUAAUUAAACUUCUUGAUCAUUUAACCAAAUUUUAUAAAUUUAUACUCUUAUAAAAAGAAAUUUGUAAAAAAUUAAAAGUAAAUAAGUACACAUGGUGUUUUGAACCCAAGAUCUCCUCAUUAUUUUCAAAUGACAAACCACCACUUCUAGUUAAAUUUCUUUGUCUUUGAACCAAAUUUUAUAAAUUUAUACUCUAAUAAUUUUGGUGCCCCUAAUUGUUUUG
rnacentral:lncRNA from 1 species